UCCCUGUUAGCUCAGAUGGUAAAAAAAUCUGCCUCCUAGGCAGGAGACCCGGGUUUGAUCCCUGGACUGGGAA
rnacentral:tRNA from 1 species